GAUGAAGAACGCAGCGAAAUGCGAUAAGUAAUGUGAAUUGCAGAAUUCAGUGAAUCAUCGAAUCUUUGAACGCACAUUGCGCCCCUUGGUAUCCCGAGGGGCAUGCCUGUUCGAGCGUCAUUUCACCACUCAAGCCUGGCUUGGUGUUGGGCGACGUCCCCUUUGGGGACGCGCCUCGAAACGCUCGGCGGCGUGGCACCGGCUUUAAGCGUAGCAGAAUCUUUCGCUUUGGAAGUCGGGGCCCCGUCUGCCGGAAGACCUACUCGCAAGGUUGACCUCGGAUCAGGCAGGGAUACCCGCUGAACUUAAGCAUAUCAAUAAGCGGAUGA
rnacentral:misc_RNA from 1 species